UGGUAGAUUUUAUCAAACUUGCUGGGAGGUGGUUGGGAAUGAUGUUCUUAAAAUGGUGCAAGAAUUCUUCAAAGGUAACUUUGAAUUCAAAACUUUCCAGGAAAUGCCAAGCACAGCAAAGAAGAUUAUUAAUUUGGAUAAAUAGAGCACGCCACAAUUGAGGAUAAGGAAAUGCACAACAAUCUAAUCAUGGUCUUAACAGUGCAGAAUCAGGUUUUUCUUGAAAUUCUAAAAUCUGCCAGAUGAUACUAAUUGACUAAGUACAUAAUGUUGUCUGAACUAAGUUCUGUUGGUUAAACUUAUCAUGCACCUGGUGAGAGAUUGAGGUGUUUCAAAUGAUAUAAAACCAAGACACAUUAAUCUUGGUGCUUAGUGAUUAAAUAUCAUCUGCAGGUUAUAGCAAUUCAAGUACUACAAGAAUCAGUACAAUUGAAGAGUAUUGAAAUAUGAGCAAACAAUGUACCUGAGACCAUAACACAUCUGAUAAGAAUCACAGCAGCUAAAGCAAUCUUUGUAACCAGUACCAAUGAGCGGAUUCAC